CGGCCGGCGAGGGGCGAACUCCGGGAGUUCUUCGUCGAUCCGAGGUCUCUCGUCAAGAAGGAAGCCGUGAGCGAGGAAGAGGCCACGAUUUCAAGCUCACCCGAACCCUAGAAAGUCCUUCUUUCGGCUGUGAGUCCAAGAAACCAAGAUAUAGGAAAGGAA